ACACAAUGAGAGUGGUACACAGACAUACAGCUAGGUACACAGACAUACAGCUAGGUACACAGACACAAUGAGAGUGGUACACAGACAUACAGCUAGGUACACAGACACAAUGAGAGUGGUACACAGACAUACAGCUAAGUACACAGACAUACAGCUAGGUACACAGACACAAUGAGAGUGGUACACAGACAUACAGCUAGGUACACAGACACACAGCUAGGUACACAGACGCAAUGAGUGGUACACAGACACAAUGAGUGGUACACAGACAUACAGCUAGGUACACAGACACAAUGAGUGGUACACAGACAUACAGCUAGGUACACAGACCCAAUGAGUGGUACACAGACACAAUGAGUGGUACACAGACAUACAGCUAGGUACACAGACACAAUGAGUGGUACACAGACAUACAGCUAGGUACACAGACACAAUGAGUGGUACACAGACAUACAGCUAGGUACACAGACACAAUGAGUGGUACACAGACACAAUGAGUGGUACACAGACAUACAGCUAGGUACACAGACACACAGCUAGGUACACAGACACAAUGAGUGGUACACAGACAUACAGCUAGGUACACAGACCCAAUGAGUGGUACACAGACAUACAGCUAGGUACACAGACACAAUGAGUGGUACACAGACAUACAGCUAGGUACACAGACACAAUGAGUGGUACACAGACAUACAGCUAGGUACACAGACACAAUGAGUGGUACACAG